CGGAAAUCUGCACGCCGCUUGGGAUGCAAGUUACUAUGGUUACUCCUGUUGCCUAGUGACACCUGCCUCACGCUGUUGAGUGUGCUACUGCUCAUGCCACUCAUGCGCAACACAUCCCCCUUCAGCUGCCACGGCAGACCAACUCCCUUGACAUAGGACAAGUUGUUUUGUCCUGCAGUCCAGGAGUAAAAUUGGAAUUGGCAUUUUUAUCUGGAAAAGAAAAAAAUAAAAAGAAAGACUGAAGGGUCUCUCUUAUAGCAAGUAUCCAUAUUCCUGUUCUCUAGAUUCACUUACACAUGACAUGAAGAUUCCAGAGACGGACUGCAGGAAGCAACAGUAGUCUGAAAGCAUCAAAGAUCAGCUUAGUUAUGAAACUGAAAAGAAGAGCCAAAAUGAAGAACAUUUGCCUAAAGUCAGUCAUACGCAAACUGCAGGCAAACCUAGAAAAACAGUGUGAAGAUACGGACAGACCAGAAUAGAAGCAGCCAUGACAGAUGAGUCA